rnacentral:tRNA from 1 species
GGUCCCAUGGUGUAAUGGUUGGCACAUCGGACUUCAAAUCCGAGGGCCGGGUUCAAUUCCCGGUGGGACCU